CCUACGGGAGGCUGCAGUGGGGAAUAUUGCGCAAUGGGCGAAAGCCUGACGCAGCCACGCCGCGUGAGCGAUGAAGGCCUUCGGGUCGUAAAGCUCUGUGGGGAGAGAAGAAUAAAGCCUGUGAAGAGCAGGCCUUGACGGUAUCUCCUUAGCAAGCACCGGCUAACUCCGUGCCAGCAGCCGCGGUAAUACGGAGGGUGCAAACGUUGCUCGGAAUCAUUGGGCGUAAAGUGCACGUCAGCUGCCCGACGAAAACCCUGGGCUCAAACCAGGAAGUGCAGCCAAAACUGGGGGGCUUGAAUCUCGGAGGGGGGCGGAGAAUUCCCGGUGGAGAGGUGAAAUUCGUAGAUAUCGGGAGGAAUACCAGUGGCGAAGGCGCCGACCUGGACGAAGAUUGACGCUGAGGUGCGAAAGCGUGGGGAGCAAACAGGAUUAGAUACCCCAGUAGUC
rnacentral:rRNA from 1 species